rnacentral:misc_RNA from 1 species
UUUCCGUAGGUGAACCUGCGGAAGGAUCAUUAAUAAAUUUUUUUUGAAAUAAAAAAAAUAUAAUAAUCAUCCUACCCUUUGUGAAUUUGUUUGUUGAAUAAUUUUUUAAAAUUAUUUAUUGUCUAUCCAAGUUGGAAAGUUGUAAAAGACUAGAAGACUUGGGGCGGCAUAAAUAAAUUUAAAGACUUUUUUCUAAAAUUAAACUUUUGUAUUCAUUUGUCUAAAAUAAUUUUUAUAAUAUAUAAAAACAACUUUUGACAAUGGAUCUCUUGGUUCUCGCAACGAUGAAGAACGCAGCAAAAUGCGAUAAGUAAUGUGAAUUGCAGAAUACGUGAAUCAUCGAAUCUUCGAACGCAUAUUGCACUUUUUAGUUUACUAAAAAAAGUAUGUCUGUUUGAGUAUCAGUAAAAUAUUCUCAUAAAAUUUUUAAUUUUAUGGUUAUGAGUGUUUUACAACGAUAAACAAGUUGUUUCACUUUAAAUUGAAUUUUUUGAAGAAAUUCUUAAUUCAAAUUAAAUUUGGAUAAAAUUUCCCGUAAAAAGGAAUAACUAUACAAGUUUAAUAAGAAUUUAGUGAUUUCUUUUAUGAAAAGGAAAUUUAUUAAAUAACUUGAUCUCAAAUCAGAUAAGAGUACCCGCUGAACUUAAGCAUAUCAAUAAGCGGAGGAAAAGAAACUAACAAGGAUUCCCCUAGUAACGGCGAGUGAAGCGGGAAGAGCUCAAAUUUGAAAUCUUAAAGGGUUUCCCUUUACGAAUUGUAGUUUAAAGAAGUGUUUUCUGUUGAGGUUUUGGUAAAAGUUCUUUGGAAUAGGACAUCAUAGAGGGUGAGAAUCCCGUAUUUGACCUUUACUUUCAACUUUGUGAUACACUUUCAAAGAGUCGGAUUGUUUGGGAAUGCAGUCCAAAAUGGGUGGUAAAUUUCAUCUAAAGCUAAAUAAUGGCGAGAGACCGAUAGCGAACAAGUACCGUGAGGGAAAGAUGAAAAGAACUUUGAAAAGAGAGUUAAACAGUACGUGAAAUUGUCAAAAGGGAAGCGUUUGACACCAGUGUUGUUUUUCUGAAAAUCAAUUAAAGAACUGUUUAUGCUAAGUUGUUUAGACUUUAUCAGCUAACUGUUUAGUUUUGAGCUUUUCUUUAAUGCACUUUUCAGUUAACAAGUCAACAUCAAUUUCUUUUGCUGUAAAAAAGCUUGAGGAAGGUGGCUUGAGAUUCGUCUUAAGUGUUUAUAGCCUCUUGCCUAUGCAGUCGGAGAGAUUGAGGUCUGCAGCGUAGAUCCUUCGGGGCUAAAUGCAUUUGUGCUAAGUUAUAGCAUUUUAUAGACAACUUGUUGACUAUGAUUUGUCUUGUAGCUUACUCGCUUAUGUUAUUUUACCUACGCUUAGGAUGUUG